AGUUCGGAUUGUAGUCUGNAACCCGACUACAUGAAGCUGGAAUCGCUAGUAAUCGCGGAUCAGAAUGCCGCGGUGAAUGCGUUCCCGGGUCUUGUACACACCGCCCGUCACACCAUGGAAGUUGGGGGUGCCCAAAGCCGGCAGGGAAAUAUGCUGUCUAAGGCAAAACCAAUGACUGGGGUGAAGUCGUAACAAGGUAUC
rnacentral:rRNA from 1 species